rnacentral:rRNA from 1 species
UACGUAGGGUGCAAGCGUUGUCCGGAAUUAUUGGGCGUAAAGAGCUCGUAGGCGGUCUGUCGCGUCUGCUGUGAAAACUCGGGGCUUAACCCCGGGCCUGCAGUGGGUACGGGCAGACUAGAGUGCGGUAGGGGAGACUGGAAUUCCUGGUGUAGCGGUGAAAUGCGCAGAUAUCAGGAGGAACACCGGUGGCGAAGGCGGGUCUCUGGGCAAUACUGACGCUGAGGAGCGAAAGCGUGGGGAGCGAACAGGAUUAGA